rnacentral:rRNA from 1 species
ACUCAAAUGAAUUGACGGGGGCCCGCACAAGCGGUGGAUCAUGUGGUUCAAUUCGAAGCAACGCGAAAAACCUUACCUGGGUUUGACAUCCUCUGACAACCGUAGAGAUACGGCUUUCGUAGCAAUACGACAGAGAGACAGGUGCUGCAUGGCUGUCGUCAGCUCGUGUGGUGACAUGUUGGGUUAAGUCCCGCAACGAGCGCAACCCCUGUCCUUAGUUGCCACCAUUAAGUUGGGCACUCUAAGGAGACUGCCGUGGUUAACACGGAGGAAGGUGGGGAUGACGUCAAGUCCUCAUGGCCCUUAUGCCCAGGGCAACACACGUGAUACAAUGGAUGGUACAGAGGGAAGCGAAAGGGUGACCUGAAGCUAAUCUCAAAAAGCCAUUCUCAGUUCGGAUUGGAGUCUGCAAUUCGACUCCAUGAAGGUGGAAUCGCUAGUAAUCGCGGAUCAGAACGCCGCGGUGAAUACGUUCCCGGGCCUUGUACACACCGCCCGU